AGAAGCCUGGGGUGUUCGAUACUCUUGUUAUUUUGAACCUACACUUUAUGAUUGGGAUUCCUACAUUCUUGCAUGGAAGUCAAGCCACCAUUGCAGUGGAAGACGGAAGUGCAUAUGCGGUUGCCCACCUAGCGAUUGCUAGGACUCAAAAUGCAGGAAACGGCAUCGUGGGUUUCUU
rfam:Clostridium sp. CAG:230 genomic scaffold, scf232